rnacentral:lncRNA from 1 species
AGACACACAGGGUGUCGCAGGAUGAGCAAGGGGAGGCCUGGCUGGAGGGACCAAGGUGGGUCCUCCAAGGAAGUGGCAUUUCCUCUGAGCUUCCCGGGGGAGCAGAGGUUUGCCAGGUACGUGGGAGGAGCUUCCCAGAGGAAGGGCCAGCACCUGCAAAGGCCCUGGAGUGGGAGAAACCUGGAGGAAGUCGAAAGAAGCAGCUCGGCGGGGGCGGGAAUACCCCACCCACGGCCCCGGCGUCUUGCCGGGCGCUCAGCCUCCCUCUGGCCUCUGUGGAGGCCUCCCUGCAUCGCCCUCCUGGAACGUCAGCCUCUCCAGAGCGGGAACUUCCGUUCCAUCUUGUUCAAGCUGCGCCCCGGAGCCUGGAACAGCCAGCACCUGGCGCUCAGCAGGUGCUCCAUCCCAUGGAAUCUACCAGAAACUGGGGUUCCCCAAAGCCUCUGCCUGCCUUCUGCAGCUGAGCUGCUUCAGCCUCUGUGGGACACCCAUUUGAAGGAACCUGUCCAAAUCCAUGUAAGAGAUCUCCUAUUUUUUCCCUCCCACCUGAGGCUCUUCCUCCUCACCAGACACCUGUUCCAAGGAAGCUCCUGCAACUAGGUAAGAUGAAU